GACGAACGCUGGCGGCGUGCUUAACACAUGCAAGUCGAACGGAAAGGCCCUGCUUUUGUGGGGUGCUCGAGUGGCGAACGGGUGAGUAACACGUGAGUAACCUGCCCUUGACUUUGGGAUAACUUCAGGAAACUGGGGCUAAUACCGGAUAGGAGCUCCUGCUGCAUGGUGGGGGUUGGAAAGUUUCGGCGGUUGGGGAUGGACUCGCGGCUUAUCAGCUUGUUGGUGGGGUAGUGGCUUACCAAGGCUUUGACGGGUAGCCGGCCUGAGAGGGUGACCGGCCACAUUGGGACUGAGAUGCGGACCAGACUCCUACGGGAGGCAGUGGGGAAUAUUGCACAAUGGGCGGAAGCCUGAUGCAGCAACGCCGCGUGCGGGAUGACGGCCUUCGGGUUGUAAACCGCUUUCGCCUGUGACGAAGCGUGAGUGACGGUAAUGGGUAAAGAAGCACCGGCUAACUACGUG
rnacentral:rRNA from 1 species